rnacentral:rRNA from 1 species
UACGGAGGGGGCAAGCGUUGUUCGGAUUUACUGGGCGUAAAGGGCGCGUAGGCGGUCGAUUAAGUUACUUGUGAAAUCUCUGAGCUUAACUCAGAGCGGCCAAGUAAUACUAUUUGACUAGAGUGCAGAAGGGGCAACUGGAAUUCUUGGUGUAGCGGUGAAAUGCGUAGAUAUCAAGAGGAACACCUGAGGCGAAGGCGGGUUGCUGGGCUGACACUGACGCUGAGGCGCGAAAGUGUGGGGAGCGAACCGG